CAGUAGCCGCGGUAAUACGAAGGUCCCGAGCGUUGUUCGGAAUCACUGGGCGUAAAGGGAGCGUAGGCGGCGUGGUAAGUCAGAUGUGAAAUCCCGGGGCUCAACCCCGGAACUGCAUCCGAUACUGCCGUGCUAGAGGAUUGGAGAGGUAGCUGGAAUUCUUGGUGUAGCGGUGAAAUGCGUAGAGAUCGGGAGGAACAUCAGUGGCGAAGGCGGCCAUCUGGGACAACACUGACGCUGAGGCACGAAAGCGUGGGGAGCAAACAGGAUUAGAUACCCGCGUAGUCCCUGUCUCUUAUAC
rnacentral:rRNA from 1 species